rnacentral:lncRNA from 1 species
CUUUGGGACAGGCUUGAGACAAAGCAGUGUAGCACCAGAUGGUGAAUAGCUGUUACACGUUGCAUGAAUUCUGUGCCAAAUCAUAGGACUUUGCUUGCUAGGUCUUGUACGCUUAAGAUCCUGCAUGUUGCAGGACAUGGGACUUGAUCAUAAUAUAUAAUAUUUAAUGGUAUGCCUACAGAUAAUCUGAUAAACUGCUUUUGUGUUGCAGAUCUCUAGUUCCUACGAUCCUCAGUAUUUUACAGGAGCGCCAACAAUGCAUGCUUGGAAAAUCAUCUGUCAAACUCUCAAACCAGCAACCUGCUGGGAUGUAAGGAGGACUCAACUCAUGGCCUUGCAGUAUCGUGUGGUGCAAUGCCAACGUUUUGUUUAAAAAGGGUGUGAAAGGAUUUGGCCUACGAAAAAAAUGAUGCUAAACAUUAACUGUGACAUCAUUUGAGCACCUGCCUCAUGGAUAACCCCGGAUACUCUCACAGAGCAGAAUGGAAACUUUUCUUUAAUCACUUUCAGUGAGAAUUCCGCCAUAAAACCCCAUGUACCCUUUCUGUCUUUAGUUACCAACGUCUAUGAAAGUUUGGUUCUUGUUUUAUAAAAAAACAACAAAGAAUCUUUGGCUACUGACUACAUAAUUACUAGAAAUUGCAUGCUCUGGACAAAGGCCAACUGUGAUAAUCAUAUUUUGCUUUAGUCAGCUUCUAGUUCAUUUCACAAACUGUUUAACGUGGUUAUCGAUUUCCUAUCUCUGCUUGUUGUGCUGUAUUGCUAAGUUCUCCCACCACCAGUGACUCACUUCUUCUCAGCUCAUCGUGUGGGCUUCCCUCUGAGCACAUAAAGAUUUAAAAUGCACAGGUUGUGUUUAAAAAAUGAAAAAUCAUGACAGAAACCAUAAACGGAGGUUUAACAGAUGAUAAUGAAUAUGCAGUGAAUCUUGUUUAAAAGUUUUUUAAUUAUUCAGACGUCUUGGAAUGACAAUUUAUAAAUGUUAAAAAGUCAAUGGCCAUGAGUGCUUCCAGGUUUUGCAUGUAAAGUAGUGCACAAUAAAUAGAACAGAACUGUAACUUAUUUCA